GGACUUCAUGGCCACAAAAUUUGUGUGUAGAGAGGGCCACAGCAGCCUGAAAACCAUUUUCGUCCCCUUUUAGGUUUACCCAUUCCACUGGACCCAGCCACCACCCACUCCUGCUGUCUGGGUGCAGCAGAAGUCUCAGGUAGCUGAGAAGUUCAUGGAAUCUUCUUAUUUGCUACACCUUUCACUACUGCUUGUGAUAUAGUGCAGGGUUGGGAUGUGCAGACAUUUCUCAAGUGCACUGUGUACCUACACAGCAUGCUGCAAUUUGGCUACUGAAGUCAAGAGAAACUGGUUUGAACAACUACUGAGUGUAACAUAGGAAGCGCAUUUCAUUUGAUAACAGGAACACAGCUUUUGUGCUAAUAAAAU
rnacentral:lncRNA from 1 species